GCUUACGGCCACACCACCCUGAACACGCCCGAUCUCGUCUGAUCUCGGAAGCUAAGCAGGUUCGGGCCUGGUUAGUACUUGGAUGGGAGACCGCCUGGGAAUACCAGGUGCUGUAAGCU
ensembl:rRNA 5S_rRNA 5S ribosomal RNA